rnacentral:rRNA from 1 species
UGGCAUCACGAGGGCUUAACUGUCUCCCCUCCCCANUCAAUGAAAUUGAUCUCCCCGUGCAGAAGCGGGGAUAAUACCAUAAGACGAGAAGACCCUAUGGAGCUUUAGACGUCAGAGCAGCCCAUGUAAAGCACCCCUUAACAAAGGAAAAAACCAAAUGAAGCCUGCCCUAAUGUCUUUGGUUGGGGCGACCGCGGGGAAAUACAAAACCCCCAUGUGGAGUAGGAAUACACAUUCCUAAACCCAAGAGCUCCCGCUCUAAUGAACAGAAAUUCUGACCAAUAAGAUCCGGCACACGCCGAUCAACGGACCGAGUUACCCUAGGGAUAACAGCGCAAUCCCCUUAAAGAGCCCUUAUCGACAAGGGGGUUUACGACCUCGAUGUUGGAUCAGGACAUCCUAAUGGUGCAGCCGCUAUUAAGGGUUCGUUUG